UACGAAGGGGGCUAGCGUUGUUCGGAAUUACUGGGCGUAAAGCGCACGUAGGCGGACAUUUAAGUCAGGGGGUGAAAUCCCAGAGCUCAACUCUGGAACUGCCUUUGAUACUGGGUGUCUUGAGUAUGGAAGAGGUGAGUGGAAUUCCUAGUGUAGAGGUGAAAUUCGUAGAUAUUAGGAAGAACACCAGUGGCGAAGGCGGCUCACUGGUCCGGUACUGACGCUGAGGUGCGAAAGCGUGGGGAGCAAACAGG
rnacentral:rRNA from 1 species